CCUACGGGAGGCAGCAGUGAGGAAUAUUGGUCAAUGGGCGUAAGCCUGAACCAGCCAAGUCGCGUGAGGGAUGAAGGUUCUAUGGAUCGUAAACCUCUUUUAUAAGGGAAUAAAGUGUGGGACGUGUCCGGUUUUGUAUGUACCUUAUGAAUAAGGAUCGGCUAACUCCGUGCCAGCAGCCGCGGUAAUACGGAGGAUCCGAGCGUUAUCCGGAUUUAGUGGGUUUAAAGGGUGCGUAGGCGGCCUUUUAAGUCAGCGGUGAAAGUCGGUGGCUCAACCAUAGAAUUGCCGUUGAAAGUGGCAGGCUUGAGUAUGUUUGAGGCAGGCGGAAUGCGUGGUGUAGCGGUGAAAUGCUUAGCUAUCACGCAGAACCCCGAUUGCGAAGGCAGCCUGCCAAGCCAUGACUGACGCUGAUGCACGACAGCGUGGGGAUCAAACAGGAUUAGCUACCCUAGUAGUC
rnacentral:rRNA from 1 species